CCCCCUACGGGGGGCAGCAGUGAGGAAUAUUGGUCAAUGGUCGGGAGACUGAACCAGCCAAGCCGCGUGAGGGAUGAAGGUACAGAGUAUCGUAAACCUCUUUUGUCAGGGAACAAAGGCGGGGACGCGUCCCCGGAUGAGUGUACCUGAAGAAAAAGCAUCGGCUAACUCCGUGCCAGCAGCCGCGGUAAUACGGAGGAUGCGAGCGUUAUCCGGAUUUAUUGGGUGUAAAGGGAGCGUAGACGGCAGCGCAAGUCUGGAGGGAAAUGCCGGGGCCCAACCCCGGAACUGCUUUGGAAAAUGGG
rnacentral:rRNA from 1 species